rnacentral:rRNA from 1 species
GACGAACGCUGGCGGCGUGCUUAACACAUGCAAGUCGAACGGAAAGGCCCUGCUUUUGUGGGGUGCUCGAGUGGCGAACGGGUGAGUAACACGUGAGUAACCUGCCCUUGACUUUGGGAUAACUUCAGGAAACUGGGGCUAAUACCGGAUAGGAGCUCCUGCUGCAUGGUGGGGGUUGGAAAGUUUCGGCGGUUGGGGAUGGACUCGCGGCUUAUCAGCUUGUUGGUGGGGUAGUGGCUUACCAAGGCUUUGACGGGUAGCCGGCCUGAGAGGGUGGCCGGCCACAUUGGGACUGAGAUACGGCGCAGAGGCCUACGGGGGGCAGCAGUGGGGAAUAUUGCACAGUGGGCGGGAGCGUGAUGCAGCGGCGCCGCGUGCGGGAUGACGGCCUUCGGGUUGUGAACCGCUUUCGCCUGUGACGAAGCGUGAGUGACGGUAAUGGGUAAAGAAGCACCGGCUAACUACGUG